AGACUCCCAAUACUUUGGGAGGCAACCCAAUGGCCGGUGUUAAUGGCGAUGAGGAACCACCUGUUCCCAUACCGAACACAGAAGUUAAGCUCAUCUGCGCCGACAAUACUUGGCGGGCGACUGCCUGGGAAGAUAGGUCGAUGCCGGCA
rnacentral:rRNA from 1 species